rnacentral:rRNA from 1 species
GAUGAACGCUGGCGGCGUGCCUUAAGCAUGCAAGUCGAACGGAGAUUGUGUGUAGCACUAAGUGUGUUAUUUCAAUGUCUUGUCAAUUUGUAUGCGCUAGAAGGUACGAAAUCAGUUUAAACAUUUUUUGGCGUAUAACGAGUGAUAAGACAACGAUUUAAUAUAUUUGUGCUACGCACGAAAUCAGUGGCGGACGAGUGAGUACAAGCAAGGAACGUACCCUAAAGUAUCGGCAUAGCUCGUCGAAAGACGGGGUAAUACGGUAUGUGGACGCAAGUCUAAAGGAGCAAUCCGCUUUUGGAGCGGCCUUGUACCUAUCAGCUAGUUGGUGAGGUAAAAGCUUACCAAGGCUACGACGGGUAGGGGGUGUGAGAGCAUGACCCCCCACGAUGGCACUGAGAUACGGGCCAUACACCUACGGGUGGCAGCAACCUGGGAAUCGUUGACAAUGGGCGAAAGCCUGAUC